rnacentral:tRNA from 1 species
GGAGAGGUGGCAGAGUGGUCGAUCGCGGCGGUCUUGAAAACCGUUGACUGUCACAGGUCCGGGGGUUCGAAUCCCUCCCUCUCCGCAA